rnacentral:rRNA from 1 species
UACGUAGGGUGCAAGCGUUGUCCGGAAUUAUUGGGCGUAAAGAGCCCGUAGGCGGUCUGUCACGUCGGCUGUGAAAACCCGAGGCUCAACCUCGGGCCUGCAGUCGAUACGGGCAGACUAGAGUUCGGUAGGGGAGACUGGAAUUCCUGGUGUAGCGGUGAAAUGCGCAGAUAUCAGGAGGAACACCGGUGGCGAAGGCGGGUCUCUGGGCCGAAACUGACGCUGAGGAGCGAAAGCGUGGGGAGCGAACAGG